rfam:Takifugu rubripes chromosome, Chr_19
GUAGGAUAUGGAGACAUGCACCCUGUGACGAUCGGUGGCAAAAUAGUGGGCUCACUCUGCGCGAUAGCGGGCGUGCUGACCAUUGCCCUACCCGUGCCAGUAAUUGUGUCCAAU